ACAGCGGAGGAUUUUCCUAGAAUGCAGGUUACUCUUUGAGAAUUUAACAAUAGCAGGAGGAUAAGAAGAUAAAUGACCUGGGAAAAUCAUGGGAGAGAAAAUGUCAGAUUCAGCAGCUGCAGCUUUGUAAGUCCUAUAGGCAGAAAAAUUGAUCUGAAGACAUCAACGCACAAAUCUUACCAUGAAUGAAAAGGGAAAUCUUCAAGCAGUUUAAUGUAGUUAGACAAAGACAUUAUUCUCCAUAGACUUUGCACAAGGAGUGGGGAGAGGUAAAAGUCUGCUAUAUUAUGUUUCUCUGUUAGUCAGUCAUUGGAUGAUCGUCUUUCUUCUGUUUACCAUACAGUGACCUGUUUCCUCUCUUCUGUAUGCUAUAUGUGCUUCGAGUGACAUACUUCCCAUGGAAAACAAAUUAAGGAAAUUUCUUUGUGAGUAAAUCAGACUGUUGA
rnacentral:lncRNA from 1 species